CACGGAGGAUGCGAGCGUUAUCCGGAUUUAUUGGGUUUAAAGGGUGCGUAGGUGGCUGAUUAAGUCAGUGGUGAAAGUUUGUCGCUCAACGAUAAAAUUGCCAUUGAAACUGGCCGGCUUGAGUAUGUUUGAGGUAGGCGGAAUGCGUGGUGUAGCGGUGAAAUGCAUAGAUAUCACGCAGAACUCCGAUUGCGAAGGCAGCUUACCAAACCAUAACUGACACUGAAGCACGAAAGCGUGGGUAUCAAACAGG
rnacentral:rRNA from 1 species